UUUAGACAUGCUAUCUUAUGCUAGGAUCCCAUCAGAUCUUCUAAGCUAGGUCAGGUCAGGAUGGAUUAAGAGUUGGAGCAGACACCUCCAAGGAAUAUCUAGGCCUCUUAGAAAA
rnacentral:rRNA from 12 species